UACGGAGGGUGCAAGCGUUAAUCGGAAUUACUGGGCGUAAAGCGUGCGUAGGUGGUUCGUUAAGUCUGAUGUGAAAGCCCUGGGCUCAACCUGGGAAUUGCAUUGGAUACUGGCGGGCUAGAGUGCGGUAGAGGAUGGCGGAAUUCCCGGUGUAGCAGUGAAAUGCGUAGAGAUCGGGAGGAGCAUCAGUGGCGAAGGCGGCCAUCUGGGACAACACUGACGCUGAAGCACGAAAGCGUGGGGAGCAAACAGG
rnacentral:rRNA from 1 species